rnacentral:tRNA from 1 species
GUGGCUCAGUGGUAGAGUGCUUGCCUGGUAUGCAUGAGGCCCUGGGUUCAAUUUCUCAGC